AACGAACGCUGGCGGCAGGCUUAACACAUGCAAGUCGAGCGCCCCGCAAGGGGAGCGGCAGACGGGUGAGUAACGCGUGGGAAUCUACCCAUCUCUACGGAAUAACGCAUGGAAACGUGUGCUAAUACCGUAUACGUCCUUCGGGAGAAAGAUUUAUCGGAGAUGGAUGAGCCCGCGUUGGAUUAGCUAGUUGGUGGGGUAAAGGCCUACCAAGGCGACGAUCCAUAGCUGGUCUGAGAGGAUGAUAAUCAACACUGGUACUGGGACACGUCCCAGACUCCUACGGGAGGCAGCAGUGGGGAAUGUUGAACAAUGGUCGCAAGCCUGUUCCAGCCAUGCCGCGUGAGUGAUGAAGGCCCUAGCGUUGUAAGGCUCUUUCACCGGUGAACAUGAUGGCGGUAACCGGGGAACAAGCCCCGGCUAAGUGCGUGCAAGCCGCCGCCGUAACAC
rnacentral:rRNA from 1 species